AAAAGAAUAGGAUAUUUAUGUCACAAAUCUCAUUUGCUGCUACUAAUAUCAACUUGUCACUCACUUUACUCUUCCUCAUAAGCUGACCCUCUCUUCCUCAUAGCCAUGGAAGGUUACUGCAUUUACAAAAACCCUAACGCACCAAUUGAGGAACGAAUCAAAGACCUACUAUCUCGAAUGACCCUACAAGAGAAGCUAGCUCAAAUGGCUCAAAUUGAUUGUACUGUUGCUUCUUCUUUUGCUCUCAAAGACCUUGGCAUUGGUAGUAUAGUGAGUGAAGCUGGCCCAAGAAGUGGUCCUUUCGAGAAAGCAUUGUCGUCUGAUUGGGCUGAUAUGAUUGAUAGUUUUCAGAAAUUGGCGAUGAAAUCGCGGUUAGGUAUUCCGAUUGCUUAUGGCGUAGAUGCUGUUCAUGGUAAUAAUAGCGUGUAUGGUGCGACUAUUUUUCCUCACAAUGUUAAUCUUGGUGCCACUAGGGAUGCAGAUCUAACUCGCAGAAUAGGGGUUGCAACUGCCUUGGAGGUUAGAGCUAGCGGAGCUCAUUUAGUCUUUGCUCCCUGUGUAGCUGUAUGCAGAGACCCUAGAUGGGGAAGGUGUUAUGAGAGUUAUGGCGAAGACACUGAAAUUGUGAGGAUGAUGACUUCCAUUGUUUCAGGGUUGCAGGGGGGUCCACCCACAGAACACUCAAAUGGCUACCCAUUUCUUUCAGGAAGAAAGCAUGUGAUUGCUUGUGCUAAACACUAUGUUGGUGAUGGAGGAACACACGAAGGUAUAAAUGAGGGGAAUACAAUCUCUUCAUAUGAAGAUUUAGAGAGGAUCCAUAUGGCACCUUAUCUGGACUGUAUAUCUCAGGGAGUUUGUGCUGUCAUGGCCUCCUAUUCAAGUUGGAAUGGAAGAAAGCUACAUGGUGAUCGUUUUCUUCUUACUGAGAUUCUUAAAGAUAAGCUGGGUUUCAAGGGAUUUGUAAUUUCGGAUUGGGAAGGCAUUGAUGAACUUUGUGAACCUCUAGGUGCAGACUAUCGUUUCUGCAUUUUAACUGCUAUUAAUGCAGGAAUUGAUAUGGUAAUGGUUCCGUUUAGGUAUGAAAAGUUUUUGGAGGAUUUGACGUAUCUUAUGGAAUCAAAUGAGAUACCACUAACUAGGAUUGAUGAUGCUGUUAAACGGAUACUUAGGGUGAAGUUUUUGGCAGGUCUUUUUGAGCAUCCUUAUACUGACCGGUCACUGCUAGAUACAGUUGGUUGCAAGGGUAAGUCUGAUUCUCCUACACCAGGGAAGAAUUCAAGAUUAAGUACACUAUUCAAGGAAAAGUUUUCUGCUAACCUUCGAGCCAUCUCUCUUGGACACAUACAUGUAAUCAAUCUUCUGCUACUCCACUUCAACAUUGUUCACCAAGCACUCUUGUUAUGACAUUGAGGUCAGUGAGAAUGGGAAAUAUCCCCAAGUGGUUCAACUACAUUGAGUGAAAAGUUUAUGGUUGGUUUGGGAACUCUAGCACUUUGUGUCCUUUCAUGUCCCUGUUAAAUGAUCUUAAUUCCACAAUCCCAGAGCAUCUAAAAUUAACCUUUUUUAGUGUUACUAAUUAUAUUUUCUGAAAGACUUGAAAUAUUAAUGAGUGUUGAAGGGAGCUUUCGUGUCUUUAUCUUUAUUUUUCUGUAUGUCAUUAAUCGGAUGCUAGAAAUUCCACCCACUUUGUUACACUUUUGAUUCCAGUUUCUUACUUCCUAGACAACUAUUUCAUUAUUCUAAGACGAUGUUUGGAUAAGGAUCUGGAAAGGAAAGGAAGGGAAGGGAAAAGUAGGUGAGGGAAGCACCAUGCGUUUUUCUUCCAUAUCUGUGCAAUAUUGGGAGGAUUUGUUUGGUACAAAAUGUGAAGAAGGUAUCACCUCCAAUUAUCUUCUCUCCAUUUUUCUCCCCUCCUGUUUUGGUAUCCAAAUGUAGGAAAUAUCAUCCCACCACUUCCCUUUCCUUUCUUUCCUUCCAUUUCCUUCCAUCCAAACAUAACAUAAAUGUUACACGAGGAACCUUUGCAAUUUGAUUUCAACAAUGGGCCUUUUGCGCUUCCAUCAGUGAACAACAAUAAUGAAACAUGAAAGGAUUUGCAUCGUGAGCUAGGACGUGAAGCAGUGAGGAAGUUUUUGGUGCUCUUGAAAAAUGGAAAAGACCCAAAACAUCCAUUCCUUCCACUGGAUAAGAACGCAAAAAAAAUUCUUGUUGCUGGAACGCAUGCUGCCA